AUGGGUGACCUCUGGGCUACCCAGGGAAGUGAGGCACCCCCCACCCCCACCCAUGACAGAGGGGCAGGUGGACUGGGCCGGGGGCUCUUGUCCCUGGUUGAACAGCAGGUCCAACACGACAGCUUUCCCAAGGGGGCCACUGUGCAGGCCUGUGCCCAUGGACCUCCCACAGGGUGUUGCUUCUGCUGUCACGGCCGCUGCCUGGCCCCGAAGGCGAGUCAGCCUCCAGCCACAGCCGCACACCCGCAGAGGAACCGAGCAAGGAGGCGGCCGGGAGGGAGCCUGGAGCCUGUCUGGGAAGCCCAUAUUCUAGAACAGCCCAGGAGCCCAGUGUCAGCAGUGAGACCCAGGCCGGACACCGGGGCACAUGUGUGGUUGUGUCUGCGUGCGUAUUUGUGUGGUUCUCCGCAUAUGUGUGUGCGUGUCUGUGGGGGGUGUGUGUUCCCCAUCUCAGAUCUAGCUGCUCGCCGAUCUGAAACCUGGAAGCCGUGGGUGGCCCAAAGGGCAGUUGCUUCCAUCAGAGCCCGGCAGUCGGUGGACGGCGGAUGCAGCGUCCCCCCAAACCGCCUCCAAAGACUCUGCUGGGCCACGAGAACUUUUUAAGAGGAAAAAGGGACGCGACCUCGGGGGACCACGGAGACAGGGGUCAGGGUCCGGCCAUCCCCACCAGGCUGGUCACUCCUCGUGCUCUUGCUUCAGAUGCUGUCUGUUCACGCAGUUGUUCGGAGCUUCUCGAAGGGGAGGCGGGGCAGGGACCGUCCUUAAUUACGAAUAUGCUUCGUUUCCACUUUGAGUCACACUAGGAACCAGCAGGCCAGGCAAGGUCUUGCGUGAUCAAAAGAUUUGAAAGCCCUGCCAGGACCAGAGACGGGUGGAGCCUUGGGGCGCCUGGUGUAAGGUUAGUGACCGGACCAAAGCCCUCCUGGAGAGAGCCCUUUCCUGCCAAAGCCUGCCCACACGUGUGUAUGUGGGUGUGUGUGCGUGCAUGUGUGUGUGUGUGUGUGUGUGUGCGCGUGUGUGUGUGUGUGUGUGUGUGUAGGGAAGCCCUCUCCAGGGGAGGGCUCAGAGGCAGGUCCCCCCUCAGGCCCCCCGCUGCUCUGGUGGGCAGAGUUGGGCAUUGGGGACCUGGGUCCUCGGCUGAUUGUGCCUCUACCUCGGGGUGGGGGGUGCAAAGCAGGUGCCCAGACUCCCCCCACCCCUCCUGCUACGUGCUCACUGUCCAGAGAGGAGGUGGCCUCCAGAGGCUUCGUGGGGAGGGGUCUCGUGACCUCCCUCUGUCUACGUUUCACUCAGUCCUGCCAGUGCCACCCCUGUGAGCUGCCCCAGCUGCCCCGGGAGCAGGCGUGCCCAGGGAGAGGGGGGCUUCUGGGUGGGCAACCAGCCCUGCUUGCCCUACGUGUGCCCGAGGUGCUCCUGUCCACACCCGCCACCUCCCUCGUAUCGGUGGUCCUAGAAACACCCAGCAGGGGGCCUGAUCUGGAAAAGCCAGACCCUCAUCUGGUGUCAGGUGCUACCAAGGACACCUGUGUGACGCACGCGCGCCACCCACGUGCCUGAGGAGUGGCGCUCCGACCUGGGGAGCGCGUGCCUGGUUUUGGGACGG
rnacentral:lncRNA from 1 species